UGGCCUUGCCCUUCGGGGCGUUUCCUCCCUGAACUCGCCGCGCCCCACAAAGGCGCGGCUUUUUCUUUGCGCCG
rnacentral:sRNA from 1 species